AUGGCGGAUAGUGAGGACGUGCGCCAUUAGUCUGCGAAAAUAAAGUUUCAUAAAAGUGGAAUUACUGUAGCCUUAGGAAAAGACUCAAGAAAAAAACUACAGAGGAGACGCCUCCGGAUCGAGUGGACGGGACACAGAGGAUCUACUGAGAGCCCACUGCGUGGAAACCCAACCGCGAGAACCGAGCCACAGAGUCUUGCCGGCGCGGGAACCGGGGAAUCACUCCAAAGAAACAACGAUAAUGACAGACACACAGAUGUUAUCUUUGAUUAGGUGGCUUAUGACCACUGGAGAACUCUUGAAGGCACCAUUCUCAGUGCAGAUGGCAAUGGAAGCUGUAGAAUAUGGAAGCACCAGGCCAACAGAGUUGAUCAUUUGCUAAGAAGCCUUGGAGAGUUGCCUGGAGUUCUGUCCUGUGGGACCAUUGCACUACUCCCAUCUCACUGGUAAUUACUCAUGCUCUCUGCUAUGGCCUGGGAAAGCAUUAGAAGAUGGCCCGAGUCCUUGCAUCUCUGCACCUGCUUGGAAGACCCUGAAAAAGCUCCUGGCUCCUGGCUUUGGAUCAGCACAGCUUCAGCUGUUGCAGCCAUUUGGGGAGUAUACCAGUGGAUGGAAGACCUCUCCCUCUCUCUCUGCCUCUCUUUCUCUCUGUAACUCGGACUUUCAAAUAAAUAAAUAAAUCUAAAGGUCGUUAUUCUGAAGUAGUUUAUCUACAAAAUCCUAAAGAGGCCUUGAUGAAGGAAGGGGAUAUUAGAAGGCACUGGAGUAGGUGAGAUGUACAGUACCACCAAGGAGUUCAGUGACCAGAGCAAAAAGA